AACCAAUGGGCUUUAGUCCAGCCCCCUAGUAUAUAAGGGGCUGUAGUCUCCAUAUUCGCUCUCUUAGUUCCGGCUCUGGUUCCUGCAAGCACAAGUCCUGUACAAAAGCAUCUAGGCCAAAGCCUAAAGACCAGCAGACACUUCUAAACUGCUGCAGAAAAUGAACUUCCAGGGAAAAACAAAGACAAAGAAAUUAUAUACCAGCCACCAAAUACAGAUCCUAUUGAACUAUUUAUUAAUGAUGUCACAAGGAAUGAAAAUUCAAGCUGGCUAGAAAAAGUAUAUGAAAAAGAUCCAAAAUAUAUUCACCCAAUGAUAGCCGCAGCAGCAGCGGUGUAGAUAAGCACCAAUAAUGAUCCCGGAACAUUAGAGAAAAGGUCCAGCGCGACUUGAUCGAUCAAAAGCUUGUUAUCAUAUCUCAAUCCAAGAGACAAAAGAGUGAUGUGUUUCAGUCGACCAUGUCUACCUUAGUCAUACCAAUAAAAUUAGUAAAUUAAUUCUCAUCCUGAGUUACAUAUUUAAUUUUUUGUCAGCCUUCAUACUACAAUCAGACUAAUACUAUUUCUCAGCACAUAUGUACAUGUUUGCUCUGUU